UCCAAUUUAUGCAAAAAUUGCAUAGUACACACUGAUUAAACAAACUAAAGUCUAAUUUAAUUAACUAGUGAAAAGUUACACAAACCAAAACAAAGUACUACCAAAUCAAAUCUGAAUCCAAGAGACAAACAACAAAGAAUGAACUGGCAUGAAAAAUACGAAUUAAACAAAAGUUGACAAUUCAAUAAUUCAGCUUUAAAACUUAUCAGUGAUAAAAUAGGAAGAACAACUAAACCUAAUUUCUAAAUAUCAAAAGGAUAGAGAGGAAUAAAGAAGAAAAGGACAAGUAUUACCUAACGAGCUCAAAAGAAACGACAGAAGGAAUCUCCAGAUGGCUCCGAUCGGCCAAACACCGAUUGACCAAAAUACGGCCACUGAUAAAUGACCCACCUCUUACAUAAAUUGAUAGCUCUUGAAAAGAGCUUUCUAUUGAAGUAAGUUUUGGUUGUAACCAAGCCUAAAUGAUCGAGCAACGACAAAGAUAAGAAUCAAUUUUCUAAGGUUUCGAGAUCUAAAAUUCGUUGAUUUUAGUAAGGAUUUCGGGGAAGCUGGAAAGGCGUCUGUAUUGAAGAGGAGUUGGGGAGUGUAGGAUGAAAUUUUACGUCUAUUUGGAGACAGGACGCUUCCAUGGGCGAUUUCCGACGGGGGCGAAAGGUGGGGCGUGAAAGAGGAGGUGAGAGAUGAUCUCAGAGGUCAUUCGCGGGGUAGGGGUUCGGUUUCAAAGACAAUUUUAUGUGACUAAUGGUUUAGUUCCUAGCCGUUGGAUGGGUUUGAGGGAUGGCUAAGAUUUAAUCUAAUCAAACUAACCUAAA
rnacentral:lncRNA from 1 species